GUUAGUUGGUGGGGUAAUGGCUUACCAAGACUAUGACACAUAACUGGUUUGAGAGGAUGAUCAGUCACACUGGAACUGAGACACGGUCCAGACUCCUACGGGAGGCAGCAGUGGGGAAUAUUGCACAAUGGACGAAAGUCUGAUGCAGCAACGCCGCGUGGAGGAUGACACAUUUCGGUGCGUAAACUCCUUUUAUAUGAGAAGAUAAUGACGGUAUUAUAUGAAUAAGCACCGGCUAACUCCGUGCCAGCAGCCGCGGUAAUACGGGGGGUGCAAGCGUUACUCGGAAUCACUGGGCGUAAAGAGCAUGUAGGCGGAUUAAUAAGUUUGAAGUGAAAUCCUAUAGCUUAACUAUAGAACUGCUUUGAUAACUGUUAAUCUAGAAUGUGCGAGAGGUAGAUGGAAUCUCUGGUGUAGGGGUAAAAUCCGUAGAGAUCAGAAGGAAUACCGAUUGCGAAGGCGAUCUACUGGAACAUUAUUGACGCUGAGAUGCGAAAGCGUGGGGAGCAAACAGGAUUAGAUACCCUGGUAGUCCACGCCCUAAACGAUGUACACUAGUUGUUGUGAGACUUGAUCUUGCAGUAAUGCAGUUAACACAUUAAGUGUACCGCCUGGGGAGUACGGUCGCAAGAUUAAAACUCAAAGGAAUAGACGGGGACCCGCACAAGCGGUGGAGCAUGUGGUUUAAUUCGACGAUACACGAAGAACCUUACCUGGACUUGACAUAGUAAGAACUUUCUAGAGAUAGAUUGGUGUCUGCUUGCAGAAACUUAUAUACAGGUGCUGCACGGCUGUCGUCAGCUCGUGUCGUGAGAUGUUGGGUUAAGUCCCGCAACGAGCGCAACCCUCGUGUUUAGUUGCUAACAGUUUGGCUGAGAACUCUAAACAGACUGCCUACGCAAGUAGGAGGAAGGUGAGGACGACGUCAAGUCAUCAUGGCCCUUACGUCCAGGGCUACACACGUGCUACAAUGGGAUAUACAAAGAGCGGCAAUACGGUGACGUGGAGCAAAUCUUAUAAAAUAUCUCCCAGUUCGGAUUGUAGUCUGCAACUCGACUACAUGAAGUUGGAAUCGCUAGUAA
rnacentral:rRNA from 1 species